CGAGGGCACGGGGGAGCCUCGUGCGCGCGCGGCGGGGCCCGGCGCGGCCGCUGCCUCCCGACCCACCCCGCCGGCGCUGGGCAGCCCUGGAAGUCCCUGGAAAUCCCUGCCGAAUCCUGUGUCGCCGCCGCCCACUUGUCUCCCGUGGGCGGCUGAGGAUGGAAAACACCGUGCUGUCGCGCGGGAGGGCCGAGCCGCGGGGGGCGGAGCGGCGGCAGGGGACGUGCGGCUGCGCCGGAGGCCCGGAUUGAACAACAUGCGCAAGUAGACGUGGAUAUCCAGUUAGGAAGAUCAUUCUGCCAUCUCUCUUCAGAGCUGAGAAGAAGCUUCAUCAUCCAGGUCUAGCAGAAAACUCUAUUCAAGCAUGUACAGUUCUCCAGAUCUGCUCUAACUCCUGUCAUCCAUUGUCAAAACAAAAGUAAGGUAUGUAUUUUCUGAUGCAGUAUGUAACUUCUGCAUCUUCAUGUGAAAAAUAUUUAUUGUCACAUUAUUUUAAAUUUGAGAUGUGCAUCAUUUCGGAAACGUUUGUUUUCAUUUAAAUGUGAGUUAAUAUUCUCAAAAAAAGUUUAAGUAUUAUGUGACAGGCCCAUCUAAGCUCUGUAUAAACUGACUAAGUUCAAAACCUGUGUUUCCCACUUCUUAACUGAAUGAAAUGAAAUAAUGGAACCUGUCUCUUAACUGAAGCACAGGGAACAUUCCUUCAUCCUCAUAAAACAAUGGGCUGUGUAGGCUAAAGUGCCCCCAAAUCUUAAUCACUCUCUGCAAGUUUGGGUUGUUUUAUUGUCUCUGCAAAUUUAAGCAUAAUUUACUUUUUCAGUAUUUUGUCCUGAUACUUUAUUAUUUUCUCAUCAUAAUUCAAAUAAGGAAAGUCUGAACUGACUCCAGUGUGUCUUCACUCUCUGCUCCUAGGGAAGGUUGUAACAUUCAGAUGUCUAGUAAGAAAAGCACUCAAGACUGCCAUUUUUUAGAUAAAUUUAAAAUUUGCUAUUGAGGUCAUUAAGGUUAAGUAUUUGGACUUACCUGUUACCCUAACGAGCAGAAAAUUAGAUAUGCAUAACAAUUUAUAAUAACUAUUUCAAAUAAAGAUCAUGUCAUAUAUAUUGAGUAGUUAUGU
rnacentral:lncRNA from 1 species